AUGUCUUCCUUUUCCAAGGAAGUGGAAAAGUGUGGUCAGCUCACCACAUCUGCUGGGCAAUCCAGGCAUGAAGAAACAGUUCCAUGCCAAGAUAUUCUUUCUAGAAAACAGUUCAUUCCUCUAAAAAUGGACAGAGCAAUAAGACUGAACAGUGAAGAAGGAAAUUGCCAGGGAGGUGAAUUCCAAGAGUGUGAGGGUGGAAUAACACCUCUCAAAACAUGUUUGUUGCCCUGUGAAGAAUGUCAGAAACACCACACCAUCUGGGCAACUGCUAUUUCUGAAGGUAACUUUGUGUCACCAGAGGAAAAUAUGGAUCUCUUGCAGGAGAGGAUAUGA
rnacentral:lncRNA from 1 species